AGCUCCAAUAGCGUAUAUUAAUGUUGUUGCAGUUAAAAAGCUCGUAGUUGGAUUUGUGGUUGGAAGGGUCGGCCCGACACAUGUGUGUGGGUGCCUGACGUUCUUCCGUCCAUCUUUGGUUUGAAUCUCUGUGGCAUUAAGUUGUCGUGGAGGGGAGGGCCAUCUUUUACUGUGAAAAAAUCAGAGUGUUCAAAGCAGGCUUAUGCCGUUGAAUAUAUUAGCAUGGAAUAAUGAGAUAGGACCUGGGUACUAUUUUGUUGGUUUGCGCACCUAGGUAAUGAUUAACAGGGACAGUUGGGGGUAUUCGUAUUCCAUUGUCAGAGGUGAAAUUCUUGGAUUUCUGGAAGACGAACUACUGCGAAAGCAUUUACCAAGGAUGUUUUCAUUAAUCAAGAACGAA
rnacentral:rRNA from 1 species